rnacentral:rRNA from 1 species
GACGAACGCUGGCGGCGUGCCUAAUACAUGCAAGUCGAGCGAAGCGGCGGAUGGGUGAGUUACGCGUGGGUGACCUGCCCUUAAGUCUGGGAUACCAUUUGGAAACAGAUUCUAAUACCGGAUACUAAAGGAUGGACCUGCGAUGCAUUAGCUAGUUGGUAAGGUAACGGCUUACCAAGGCGAUGAUGCAUAGCCGGGUUGAGAGAAUGAUCAGACACACUGGGACUGAGACACGGCCCAGACUCCUACGGGAGGCAGCAGUGGGGAAUCUUGCACAAUGGGCGAAAGUCUGAUGGAGCAACGCCGCGUGAGUGAAGAAGGUGUUCGGAUCGUAAAGCUCUGUUGGUGGGGAAGCGGUAAUCAACCAGAAAGUCACGGCUAACUACGUGCCAGCAGCCGCGGUAAUUC